AAGUUUGUAGCGAACCGCAGUUAGUUUCGACCUAACCUAUGGUGAUUUAUAACCCACCCUAACUUA
rnacentral:tRNA from 1 species